CCUACGGGGUGCAGCAGUCGAGAAUUAUUCACAAUGGGGGAAACCCUGAUGGUGCGACGCCGCGUGGGGGAAUGAAGGUCUUCGGAUUGUAAACCCCUGUCAUGUGGGAGCAAAUUAAAAAGAUAGUACCACAAGAGGAAGAGACGGCUAACUCUGUGCCAGCAGCCGCGGUAAUACAGAGGUCUCAAGCGUUGUUCGGAAUCACUGGGCGUAAGGCGUGCGUAGGCUGUUUCGUAAGUCGUGUGUGAAAGGCGCGGGCUCAACCCGCGGACGGCACAUGAUACUGCGAGACUAGAGUAAUGGAGGGGGAACCGGAAUUCUCGGUGUAGCAGUGAAAUGCGUAGAUAUCGAGAGGAACACUCGUGGCGAAGGCGGGUUCCUGGACAUUAACUGACGCUGAGGCACGAAGGCCAGGGGAGCGAAAGGGAUUAGAUACCCCUGUAGUC
rnacentral:rRNA from 1 species